AUUGAACGCUGGCGGCAGGCCUAACACAUGCAAGUCGAGCGGAUGGCGGGAGCUUGCUCCUUGAUUCAGCGGCGGACGGGUGAGUAAUGCCUAGGAAUCUGCCUGGUAGUGGGGGACAACGUUUCGAAAGGAACGCUAAUACCGCAUACGUCCUACGGGAGAAAGCAGGGGACCUUCGGGCCUUGCGCUAUCAGAUGAGCCUAGGUCGGAUUAGCUAGUUGGUGGGGUAAUGGCUCACCAAGGCGACGAUCCGUAACUGGUCUGAGAGGAUGAUCAGUCACACUGGAACUGAGACACGGUCCAGGAUCCUACGGGAGGCAGCAGUGGGGAAUAUUGGACAAUGGGCGAAAGCCUGAUCCAGCCAUGCCGCGUGUGUGAAGAAGGUCUUCGGAUUGUAAAGCACUUUAAGUUGGGAGGAAGGGCAGUAAGUUAAUACCUUGCUGUUUUGACGUUACCGACAGAAUAAGCACCGGCUAACUCUGUGCCAGCAGCCGCCGUAAAAC
rnacentral:rRNA from 1 species